rnacentral:rRNA from 1 species
AUACGGAGGGGGCUAGCGUUGUUCGGAAUUACUGGGCGUAAAGCGUCCGCAGGCGGAUAAUUAAGUUAGAGGUGAAAUCCCAGGGCUCAACCCUGGAACUGCCUUUAAAACUGGUUAUCUAGAGUUAUGGAGAGGUAAGUGGAAUUCCUAGUGUAGAGGUGAAAUUCGUAGAUAUUAGGAGGAACACCAGAGGCGAAGGCGGCUUACUGGACAUAUACUGACGCUGAGGGACGAAAGUGUGGGGAGCGAACGGGAGUAGAAACCCUUGUAGUCC